UACGUAGGUGGCAAGCGUUGUCCGGGAAUUAUUGGGCGAAAGCGCGCGCAGGCGGUCCUUUUAAGUCUGAUGUGAAAGCCCACGGCUCAACCGUGGAGGGUCAUUGGAAACUGGGGGACUUGAGUGCAGGAGAGAAGAGUGGAAUUCCACGUGUAGCGGUGAAAUGCGAGAGAUGUGGAGGAACACCAGUGGCGAAGGCGACUCUUUGGCCUGUAACUGACGCUGAGGCGCGAAAAGCGUGGGGAGCAAACAGG
rnacentral:rRNA from 1 species